UGGCUCAGAGCGAACGCUGGCGGCAGGCCUAAAACAUGCAAGUCGAACGCCGUAGCAAUACGGAGUGGCAGACGGGUGAGUAACACGUGGGAACGUACCCUUUGGUUCGGAACAACACAGGGAAACUUGUGCUAAUACCGGAUAAGCCCUUACGGGGAAAGAUUUAUCGCCAAAGGAUCGGCCCGCGUCUGAUUAGCUAGUUGGUGGGGUAACGGCCCACCAAGGCUACGAUCAGUAGCUGGUCUGAGAGGAUGAUCAGCCACACUGGGACUGAGACACGGCCCAGACUCCUACGGGAGGCAGCAGUUAGGAAUCUUGGACAAUGGGCGCAAGCCUGAUCCAGCCAUGCCGCGUGAGUGAUGAAGGCCUUAGGGUUGUAAAGCUCUUUCAGCGGGGAAGAUAAUGACGGUACCCGCAGAAGAAGCCCCGGCUAACUUCGUGCCAGCAGCCGCGGUAAUACGAAGGGGGCUAGCGUUGCUCGGAAUCACUGGGCGUAAAGCGCACGUAGGCGGAUCUUUAAGUCAGGGGUGAAAUCUUGGAGCUCAACUCCAGAACUGCCUUUGAUACUGGGGAUCUCGAGUCCGGGAGAGGUGAGUGGAACUGCGAGUGUAGAGGUGAAAUUCGUAGAUAUUCGCAAGAACACCAGUGGCGAAGGCGGCUCACUGGCCCGGUACUGACGCUGAGGUGCGAAAGCGUGGGGAGCAACAGGAUUAGAUACCCUGGUAGUCACGCCG
rnacentral:rRNA from 1 species